rnacentral:misc_RNA from 1 species
UUUCCGUAGGUGAACCUGCGGAAGGAUCAUUAUUGUAUCACAGAGGCGGGAGGGCUGUUGCUGACCCGAAAGGUCGUGCACGCCCGAGUGGCUCUAAACUCAUCCAUCAUAGCCUUAUGUGCAUAACCGUGGGGGUCCCCCCUCGGCUCCUUCGGAGGGGGGAUUACGUAUCCACAGAAACUCUGUAUGCAGAGUAGAAUGGGUUUUUGGUUUUUGUGACAACGCAACCAAUACAACUUUCAACAACGGAUCUAAUGGGACUCGCAUCAAAGAAGAACG